rnacentral:lncRNA from 1 species
UGUUUUCACAUGUGCCUAGGAAGGAGGAGAGAAUCACACAUGGUGAUUACUAGUUAUCGCUACUACACAUGGGCUGUGUUCUCAGGAGGCUAAAGAAGUAGAAUGUGGUAAACGUACAGCUUUGCCUCAACCACAAGGCCUCCCUCCCUCCAUCUUCUCAGAAUGCCCUGGAAGAUAAUAGGCCCUCUCUCUUUUACGUUUAAUUUUAAUAAAUACCAAGUACUGAUUAGAAAGUAAUUAGAAUGUGUUUUUUUUGGAAGACACUAACGUUAUAAUUGAUUUUUAAAGUGGUUUUAUUUUCAAACAUAUGGUUUCAGAGAUUUUUAGUUUGAAGGUAUAUAUCAGAGAGAAAUUUAUUUAUUACAGUUAGAGAAAUCUGACUGGAACAGUCAUAAACCAUUGAAAGGACUUAUUGACUUGCGUAUUUGAAAGAUCUUGGAAUGGGCAAAUCUAGGUGCACACAUGGUAUUGUCACGAAUUUGUGCCUUACCCUCUUCCAGCCCUGUUUUCCAUGUGUGGGCUUCAUCCUGAAACAGGCUUGUCUCAAGCUGUGGCAAGACAGCUACCAGCAGCUCCAGGCAUUCCCCAGGGAAGGAAUGUGUGUGUGUCCUAGUGAUCAUAAUGAAAGUCAGGGAGAAAAUGCUCCUGGACUUCGCUGGGAUAGUCAUCCAUUCAUUUACUCAAUCUAGGGGGAUAAUAGAAUUGGCUCGGCUUGAAAUUAGACUAUAUGUCAUCUGAAUCUAAAUUGUAAAAUAGAGAUGGGAGAUGAAUAGUUUCCCAGAGGAUAGCCUGAUUGUUGUUACCAGAAAACAGAACAAAAUAUACCCACAUGGUUUUCUACUACAUAACACAAACAGGGGGAGAUUGCUUUUCUGCCUAAUUAGGGCCUCAUGGUGACUUUGCCCUAAAAAAAAAAAAAAAAAAAAAAAAAAAAAAAAUCGCUGUGGCCCAGGGGCUGAUCAUUAGAAUUUCCCAUCUAAAAUCCUCAUUUUUGAUUGCAGCAGGAGACAUUUGGUCUCUAUGAUAAUGGCUUGUGCCAACCCAACUCACAGGGACUACAUAAACUAGAAUGCUGGUUUCUUAACUGUCGGUAAGAAAAAUAACUUCCUAGUUGAGCAUAAAAUUUGAGCUACACUGACCAACUCCUUUUAUAAAGCUAAAUAUGUAACAGGGAAGAGAAAUUAAAACCAGCAGGACAUUAGUUGAGCAUGGAAUCAGACUCAGGGUAAUUAGUUAAAUAAAAACAUUCUGUGACAUGUACCCAUUAUUGCUCAAUAUAUGUAUUGCAGUGGCAGUAAUAUACUGUCUAGAAGGCUGUCAUUCAAAUAGGCUUGUAGGCAUACUCUGCCACACCCCCAAUGGGUUGGGUUCUGGGUGACUAUUGCUACGUUGCUGAUUCCAGUCACUAUAUUUUCACAAGGACCAUUUCCUUCCAUUGACACCUUAUUUAAUUAAAUAGUCUCCAUUUGCUUUUUGAUUAAGUAACAGUUCAUUAAUAAUUAGUAUAUCUUGAUUUAAUUAGGCAAAGUGUCAGAAAUCUCGGCCUACGUUGAUUGCAACAAGUGUUUGACCACUUAUCAGAACUUUCUAUAUAAUUUCAAAGCUGAGGAACAUUUCUGUAAUGGGAUAAGCUAUUUAAAACCAGUAGGGUAGGCAGAAAAUACUUGCUGGCUGUCUGAAUGAACAGAGCUUUGUCUUUCUUCCUGGAUUUUCUUUUCUUCUUCUUGACAUUUUGCAAGCCACACUGGUGAAAUAUAUCAAUUAGGAAUUUUCUCUUUGCAUGUUUAAAUAAGUGCAAAAUGACUCUUAAAAACAUGAUCAUUUGUGACCUUAUUUUAUAUAGUUUUAAACUUACAUGAAGUCACAAGACUAGUACAGAAAGUGUUCCUUUACUCUUUACUCGAUUUACCAAUUGUUUGUAUUUUGCCCUACUAGAUCCAUCAUUCUUUUUCUAUAGAGUAAUUUAAAGACACUGUGGCU